GCAAGUCGAACGGUAGAGUAGCAAUACUCGAGAGUGGCGAACGGGUGAGUAAUAUAUCGGAACGUGCCCAAUCGUGGGGGAUAACGUAGAGAAAUUUACGCUAAUACCGCAUACGAUCUAAGGAUGAAAGCGGGGGAUCGCAAGACCUCGCGCGAUUGGAGCGGCUGAUAUCAGAUUAGCUUGUUGGUGAGGUAAAAGCUCACCAAGGCGACGAUCUGUAGCUGGUUUGAGAGAACGACCAGCCACACUGGGACUGAGACACGGCCCAGACUCCUACGGGAGGCAGCAGUGGGGAAUUUUGGACAAUGGGCGAAAGCCUGAUCCAGCAAUGCCGCGUGCAGGAAGAAGGCCUUCGGGUUGUAAACUGCUUUUGUACGGAACGAAACGGCUCUUUCUAAUAAAGAGGGCUAAUGACGGUACCGUAAGAAUAAGCACCGGCUAACUACGUGCCAGCAGCCGCGGUAAUACGUAGGGUGCGAGCGUUAAUCGGAAUUACUGGGCGUAAAGCGUG
rnacentral:rRNA from 1 species